rnacentral:rRNA from 1 species
GAUGAACGCUGGCGGCGUGCCUAAUACAUGCAAGUCGAGCGAACAGACGAGGAGCUUGCUCCUCUGACGUUAGCGGCGGACGGGUGAGUAACACGUGGAUAACCUACCUAUAAGACUGGGAUAACUUCGGGAAACCGGAGCUAAUACCGGAUAAUAUAUUGAACCGCAUGGUUCAAUAGUGAAAGACGGUUUUGCUGUCACUUAUAGAUGGAUCCGCGCUGCAUUAGCUAGUUGGUAAGGUAACGGCUUACCAAGGCGACGAUGCGUAAGCGACCUGUGAGAGUGAUCGGCCACACUGGAACUGAGACACGGUCCAGACUCCUACGGGAGGCAGCAGUAGGGAAUCGUCCGCAAUGGGCGAAAGCCUGACGGAGCAACGCCGCGUGAGUGAUGAAGGUCUUCGGAUCGUAAAACUCUGUUAUUAGGGAAGAACAAAUGUGUAAGUAACUGUGCACGUCUUGACGGUACCUAAUCAGAAAGCCACGGCUAACUACGUG